rnacentral:ncRNA from 1 species
CCCAAUGAUUUAAAGCAUAUCAAUAAGUGGAGGAAAAUAAACUUACAAGGAUUCUUUUAGUAACUGCGAACGAAUCGAGAAUAACCCAGCCUUAGAAUUGGGCGGCUCUGUCAUCCGAAUUAUAGUCUGGAGAAGGUCCUCAAUGGCGGACCAGGACCAAGUCCCCUAGAAGGGGGCACCAGAGAGGGUGAGAACCCCAUUGUGCCCGAACCCAAUCACACCAUGAGGCACUGUCUACGAGUUAGGUUGUUUGGGAAUGCAGCCCAAAUCAGGCAUUGAAUUCUGUCCAAAGGAAAAUAUGGGCAAGAGAUCGAUAGUGAAUAAGUACCACGAAGGAAAGAUUAAAAGGACUUUUAAAAGAGAGCCAAAGAGUUCUUAAGGUUAUCAGGAGAAAAGAGGACGAGGGACGACGAUGCACUUCGGCCAGAUGUGGAAUGGUGUGAGCCGGUCUAUUAAUCAACUCGGGGUGUGCAUCAGGUUGGAUUGGUGGGGUGGCCAUAGCCCAGGCUCUCAAUACGCUCGUGGAAUGCUGUCUCCUCGAUUGUGGCCGGCAGCACGUGCAUCUGGCGUGCUUCGGCACCUGUGAUCUGAAUGCUGGAUUAUGGCUCCCUAUUCAACCCAUCUUGAAACAUGAACCAAGGAGUUUGACAUAUGUAUGAGUCAAUAAGCGAGUAAAACCAUAAGUCAUAAGGAAGAUGAUUAGUGGGAUCCCUAUGAGGUGUGCACCGCCGAUUGACCUUGAUCUUUUGAGAAGGGUUCGAGUGUGAGCAUACCUGUCAGGACCCAAAAGAUGGUGAACUAUGCCUGAGCAGGGCAAAGCCAGAGAAAACGUUAGUGGAGGCCCACAACAUUACUAACAUAUAAAUUGUUCAUCUAACUUAGGUAUAGGGGCAAAAUACUAAUGGAACCGUCUAAUAGCUGGUUCCCUCAGAAGUUUCCCUUAGGAUAGCUAGAGCACGCAUGCAAGUUCUAUCGGGUAAAACCAAAGAUUAGAGGACUCGGGGAUGCAACGCCCUUGACCUAUUCUUAAACUUUAAAUAGGUAGGAUGGCACAACUGCUUUGUUGAGAUACGCCAUGGAAUCAAGAGCUCCAAGUGGGCAAUUUUUGGUAAGCAGUACUGGCAAUGCGGGAUGAAUUGGAAGCUUUGUUAUGGUGCCAAACUGUGCACUAACCUUGAUCCCACAAAGAGUGUUAGUCGAUUAAGAUAGAAAGAUGGUGGUCAUGGAAGUUGAAAUCCACUAAGAUGUGAGUAACAACUCACCUCCCGAAUAAACUAUCCCCAAAAAGUGAUUGCACUUAUGCGCGCGACCUACACCCGACCUUCGAGGCAAGUGCCAGGCCCCGAUGAGUAAGAGGUCAUAGCGGUUCCUACAAAAACAUGGGCUCGAGCGCGCUAAGCUUGAUCCGACUCUCAAGAACAAG